GUCUUCAUAGUUUAGUGGUUAGAAUCCUGCUUUGUGGCAGCAGAGACCCGGGCUCGAAUCCCGGUGGGGACA